rnacentral:rRNA from 1 species
CGGUGUUUAACUGGCGUGAUGUGGGACGUCCUACCGGUGGGCUUAGCCUCGCGAGGGGCGGCCCAACUAAUAUCCCGUCGCGGUGCUCUUUACUGAGUGUCGAGUCGGGCCGGUACGUUUACUUUGAACAAAUUAGAGUGCUUAAAGCAGGCUAUCCUCGCCUGAAUACUGCGUGCAUGGAAUAAUGGAAUAGGACCUCGGUUCUAUUUUGUUGGUUUUCGGAACCCCGAGGUAAUGAUUAAUAGGGACAGAUGGGGGCAUUCGUAUUGCGACGUUAGAGGUGAAAUUCUUGGAUCGUCGCAAGACGGACAGAAGCGAAAGCAUUUGCCAAAAAUGUUUUCAUUAAUCAAGAACGAAAGUUAGAGGUUCGAAGGCGAUCAGAUACCGCCCUAGUUCUAACCAUAAACGAUGCCAGCUAGCGAUCCGCCGAAGUUCCUCCGAUGACUCGGCGGGCAGCUUCCGGGAAACCAAAGCUUUUGGGUUCCGGGGGAAGUAUGGUUGCAAAGCUGAAACUUAAAGGAAUUGACGGAAGGGCACCACCAGGAGUGGAGCCUGCGGCUUAAUUUGACUCAACACGGGAAACCUCACCAGGCCCAGACACCGGAAGGAUUGACAGAUUGAUAGCCCUUUCUUGAUUCGGUGGGUGGUGGUGCAUGGCCGUUCUUAGUUGGUGGAGCGAUUUGUCUGGUUAAUUCCGAUAACGAACGAGACUCUAGCCUGCUAAAUAGGCGUACCUUAUGGUAUCGCGAAGGCCCCCGGCUUCGGCCGGUGGGUUUUUACUACCAACGUACAAACAAAUCUUCUUAGAGGGCACAGGCGG